rnacentral:rRNA from 1 species
UCCAGAGUUUGAUCAUGGCUCAGAUUGAACGCUGGCGGCAGGCCUAACACAUGCAAGUCGAGCGGUAGAGAGGUGCUUGCACCUCUUGAGAGCGGCGGACGGGUGAGUAAUGCCUAGGAAUCUGCCUGGUAGUGGGGGAUAACGCUCGGAAACGGGCGCUAAUACCGCAUACGUCCUACGGGAGAAAGCAGGGGACCUUCGGGCCUUGCGCUAUCAGAUGAGCCUAGGUCGGAUUAGCUAGUUGGUGAGGUAAUGGCUCACCAAGGCGACGAUCCGUAACUGGUCUGAGAGGAUGAUCAGUCACACUGGAACUGAGACACGGUCCAGACUCCUACGGGAGGCAGCAGUGGGGAAUAUUGGACAAUGGGCGAAAGCCUGAUCCAGCCAUGCCGCGUGUGUGAAGAAGGUCUUCGGAUUGUAAAGCACUUUAAGUUGGGAGGAAGGGCAAUUACCUAAUACGUAGUUGUUUUGACGUUACCGACAGAAUAAGCACCGGCUAACUCUGUGCCAGCAGCCGCGGUAAUACAGAGGGUGCAAGCGUUAAUCGGAAUUACUGGGCGUAAAGCGCGCGUAGGUGGUUUGUUAAGUUGGAUGUGAAAUCCCCGGGCUUAACCUGGGAACUGCAUUCAAAACUGACAAGCUAGAGUAUGGUAGAGGGUGGUGGAAUUCCCUAUGUAGCGGUGAAAUGCGUAGAUAUAGGAAGGAACACCAGUGGCGGGUACGACCACCUGGACUGAUACUGACACUGAGGUGCGAAAGCGUGGGGAGCAAGGGCUAUUAGAUACCCUGGUAGUCCACGCCGUAAACGAUGUCAACUAGCCGUUGGGAGCCUUUUUGAUUUAGUGGCGCAGCUAACGCAUUAAGUUGACCGCCUGGGGAGUACCUUUCCAGAGAUGGAUUGGUGCCUUCGGG